UACGGAGGGUGCAAGCGUUAUCCGGAUUCACUGGGUUUAAAGGGUGCGUAGGUGGGUUGGUAAGUCAGUGGUGAAAUCUCCGAGCUUAACUUGGAAACUGCCAUUGAUACUAUCAGUCUUGAAUACCGUGGAGGUCAGCGGAAUAUGUCAUGUAGCGGUGAAAUGCUUAGAUAUGACAUAGAACACCAAUGGCGAAGGCAGCUGACUACGCGAAUAUUGACACUGAUGCACGAAAGCGUGGGGAGCAAACAGG
rnacentral:rRNA from 1 species